rnacentral:lncRNA from 1 species
UCCCGUAUCUAAUAGAUGACACAAAGUUAUCAGUUUAGUUGGCAAGAGCAAAAGUCCACAUCAAUUGUGAGGAUAUGAUGAUUGGCAUACUUACCCCCUGAUGAUGCCUCACUUCUUCAGAAUUUGAGGCUGUUCUUGAUAUGUCAGGUAGGUCCAGCUAUCGAGUCAAUAACUAUAUUUGGUAGUGUGUGAUGAUACAUUAAUAAUCACACUUGAAUAUGUUACCUAAACCUGUUUUGCUUUUGUAUUUCUUCCAUGUUCAUCCUUCCUUUGCCUCCUCAAAUUCUUCUUUGGCCUUAGUCCUUAUAUUUCUGUCCUCUGCAGGUUUUGUGCUGUUUGCCUCUCGGGUAGGUCCCUGCAUGAAUCUUACCUUCGGCAGUGAGCUGAGAAAAUUAGCCCCACCUUUUUUUGCUGCCCUACUAUUCGAUGAAAUGCUUGUGCCCUGAUGGAUUCCGUUCUUUUUUUGUUGGUGUUCCUUCUCAUCCUGCCUGCUUUGCAAGUCUUUGUUUCACCUAUUGUCUCGGUUCAAUUGAUUGUCCAUGCCUUGGCACGUUCUGUGUAUGAUGUAAAUUCGGAACAAUGGAUUUGGUUUUCCGAACCAUAAAACUUAUGUAGCUUGAAUUAGCAGAUUGCACCAUGAAAAGACAUACUUUCCUUUAAAAAAUAAUGUGUAUCAGUACCUCUUUAGACCCUGCUGCUUGCGAUCUGAACCAGUAUAUACUUUUCUACAGUUUAGAUGUUAUAUCAGUUUGCAGAUGAAUUCGUGGCUAAUACCAGCAUUGUGAAUUUUUCAUGUUUGUCUUCCUUUAAACCACCAUAAAACUUAUCUAGCUUGAAUUAGCAGAUUGCACCAUGAAAAGACAUAUUGUCCUUUAAAAAUAAUGUGUAUUAGUACCUCUUUAGACCCUGCUGCUUGCGAUCUGAACCAGUAUAUACUUUUCUACAGUUUAGAUGUUAUAUCAGUUUGCAGAUGAAUUCGUGGCUAAUACCAGCAUUGUGAAUUUUUCAUGUUUGUCUUCCUUUAAACCUGAUGCAUGCAUGUGCAUGAUGCUCGUUGAUGACUAUUCCAUUUGUUUUACUGACCAAUUUUUGAGAGGGAGGGUGGAGGGAGUUGGCUCUUGUGUUUGUUGAUUGCUUUGCAGAUUUAUUGGUGUUUGGUUCAGAUAGAACAGCUCCAUUUGCAUUAGCAACUGUUUGUGGAGUCCCUCGCUGCUACAGGUAUGUUUGCUCUAUAGAAUCUAUAAUAUGCAUUAUGUGCUACUGCUUUUUUUAAUUAAACCAUGAAAAAUUUAUGAUAUAGAAGAGAUUAUAAGGGGCGUCUCACGAGCACAUGAUAGCGAGAGAAUUACUCUCUGACAAUGCCUUAAUUACAGAAUGGGGUGAAGAAUGCAAGGAAGUUGCCCAUUGUCUCUCGUCACCCGACCAAGGAUAGGUGAGCGGCCAUGGAUUUUUUUUCACUCCUCCGCUCAGUGCUUGCCUCAAUCAUGUUAAUCCAUAGCGAUUUACUUUGUUCGUUCCAGGUUUGACUGACAGAGGAAGUCAAUUGAGGAGUAUGUUGACACCAGAGUCCAAGACCAUGGGUGAAGCAUUUUAAUCAAUCUGUUGUUUUGGUAAGUUUCUUGCGUUCUUAGGAUUUAAAAUAACUGCAAGGAUUGUAGAGUUCUAAUGGUUGUGUUGGGUGUUUGCGGUGGCGAGGCUGAGCAGAUCAAACUGUACGCAUGGACCGUGACUAAUGGUGUGCCAGUGUGGUGGUGCCUGCCACACACUCACACAG